AUGAAUUUUUAUUCUCAAAAGUUGAAAUGUGAGUUUUUGAUUCCUCAUUUUCAGACGUUUGUUUCAGAUAAAUUCUAAGAACCUAAAUGAAACAUUGCUGGAGUGUAGAUCGCUACCCCAUAUGAUAAAAACUUGUUGGUAAUUCUUUGGUUUUAGAGGAUAACAUGGUUCUUCAGUGGAAAUUGAAAAUGGGGGAUUUUGAGUUUUUCUCUACACAGCUAAGUAGAGAAUUUUGGGAGGUAUUUAUGUAAACAUGUUCACCCUGGAAGUAUUUCGCAGUUUAGGUUACUUGAAAUCAGUAGAGCCAAAUUUGGGGAUUUAUUAAUGACUGAUUUUGUAGACUACACAGGAAUACACAGCUGAAUAAGCAGGUAUUUAGAACACAAAUGAUGUGUGUACUUCAUAGGCCGUUCUUGGGCAUUUGCAUUAUAACCACAGCACAUGGAACCCCCUUACCAAUUAGUACAGUUUUAUUUUUCAGUGUGUUCUUUGAGAAAGCCUCCCAGUUUUUCAGAUUUGAAUGUGCAGUAAAACAACUGGUAGUACAGUCUUUUCCCCGGUCUCAUUCCAGUUCUGACGACUAUUGUCCGCCAACUGCAUCUCAUCUGGUUAACUGCUUUGAAGCCAGGUGAUGGAUAAAGUUCUGCAUACUGAAUCAUUGGACCCGAAGGCAAAGUAGCCAGAGUUGAGGAAUAUGGUCUAGUACCUAAAACUUGUGUCAUAUUACCUAUUCUCAGAUGGAAAAUAAUUUUUGAAGAUUUUGACAUCAGACUUUCAGGUGCUUAAAAAGAAAUGCGGUAGGAAGAGAACUUAAUGGACGUUUCAUUUUAGAGUUUAGGUGAUGUCUGGCAUGUAAGGAGCUGUUAAGUUCCUCUUUAAAAAGGCUUGCAGACAUCACUGAGACCUAGCAUCCGGCUGUUGGCUGUGACUGUAACCUCACAUUCCCCAGACGGUUGUCACGGUACAGUAGCUGUUUGAGAUUUCUCAUUCAUUGCUUCUGGGGAGUGUUUUGCCUAGCUAUUUUGAUGGAAACAUUUGAGUGUCUGCUGUAUGCAUACUCAGGUUAAUUUGAUAGGAAAGAGACAUUGGAGCCCUUGCUCUGGGGGAAGCCAGCUGCCAUGUUCUGAGCUCCCUAUGGUGAGACCCACACAGCAGAGAACUGAUGUCUCCAGACACUGUCCAGCGGAGACCUGUGGCUGCCCACAGUCAUCUGAGUGAGCUUGGGAGUGGAUCCUUCCCUCGUUGAGCCUUGAGAUGACUGCUGCCCUGUGGUCGCCUCAGUUGUGGCCUCCUGGGAGACUCAGCCAUACUCAGAUUUCUGACUCACAGAAACUGUGAGAUAGGGGCACCUGGGUGGCUCAGUCAGUUAAGUGUCUGCCUUCAGCUCAGGUCAUGAUCCCAGGGUCCUGGGAUCGAGUCCCACAUUGGGUUUCCUGCUCAGUG